AGAGUUUGAUCAUGGCUCAGAUUGAACGCUGGCGGCAUGCUUUACACAUGCAAGUCGAGCGGCAGCGCGGGGGCAACCCUGGCGGCGAGCGGCGAACGGGUGAGUAAUACAUCGGAACGUGUCCCGUAGUGGGGGAUAGCUCGGCGAAAGCCGGAUUAAUACCGCAUAUGCUCUACGGAGGAAAGUGGGGGAUCCGCAAGGACCUCACGCUAUGGGAGCGGCCGAUGUCCGAUUAGCUUGUUGGUGAGGUAAAGGCUUACCAAGGCGACGAUCGGUAGCUGGUCUGAGAGGAUGAUCAGCCACACUGGGACUGAGACACGGCCCAGACUCCUACGGGAGGCAGCAGUGGGAAAUUUUGGACAAUGGGGGAAACCCUGAUCCAGCCAUGCCGCGUGCGGGAAGAAGGCCUUCGGGUUGUAAACCGCUUUUGUCCGGGAAGAAAAGGUAUCUCCUAAUACGGGAUGCUCUUGACGGUACUGGAAGAAUAAGCACCGGCUAACUACGUGCCAGCAGCCGCGGUAAUACGUAGGGUGCGAGCGUUAAUCGGAAUUACUGGGCGUAAAGCGUGCGCAGGUGGUUCGUCAAGUCUGAUGUGAAAGCCCCGGGCUCAACCUGGGAAUGGCAUUGGAAACUAGCGGGCUUGAGUGUGGCAGAGGGGGGUGGAAUUCCACGUGUAGCAGUGAAAUGCGUAGAGAUGUGGAGGAACACCGAUGGCGAAGGCAGCCCCCUGGGCUAACACUGACGCUCAUGCACGAAAGCGUGGGGAGCAAACAGGAUUAGAUACCCUAGUAGUCC
rnacentral:rRNA from 1 species